UGUUUAUGAUGAUACUUUCUCAGCUCACUCAGAUUAUAAUGAUCGAUAACUUUUCGUUUUCCAACAUUCAUCAAAUAACUGAUUCAACA
rnacentral:snoRNA from 1 species